CCAAUGUGCAGAGUUCUGUUUCUGUUGAGGGACCUUCGGCUAGAAUCGUGGGCUGCAGGAUCCAGAAGCCUGGUGCAGGAAUGCAACGGAGGAAGGAAACUGGGACCCUCUCUGAAGUCCAUGCUAGCUACUGGACAUCCCCUUCUCAGACAAACCAAAGCACUGUCCAGCAAGUACUGAGGGAAGUAGGAGGCGACGUUCAGCGGUGCAAGUCAGGCCCCAGCAGCGGGUUCACCUGGGCAGAGCCUAGAUACAGCCAACGGCAAGGGUCUCACAAGUCUCUAGCACCCAGCCUGGCAAUGACUUAUCGAACAGCAAGUAGAAUGAGAGCCUGGAGAAAGAAACGGAAGAGGGAACCACGAGAAGGGAAUCAUAUUGGAGGAAAGUCGAUAUAUAUGUAUAUCAAUGGCUGCCUUCCACUCAGCAGAGGGCUGGGCGCUGCACCGAGUUCAGAUUUGUUCCUCAAUCCAUCCCGACCGCCUGCUCCAACUCAGCUGCGAUUACAUCUGCUGCUCAACUUUAAUUGGGCAUCUUCUUCUAUCUCGUCUCAUGAACGAGGACAGAACGUGGGCAAAGUUUCGCCAUCAUGGCCCCAUCCUAAUUUACCAAGAAGUACUUGCCAUCCUGGAGAAAAUCCUUUUUAUCCUUACAUAGUGAUGUGAGGAUAUUUCAUUUCGUCCUUUAUGUAGCAGAUGUCUAUCUCCAAACGUUGCUGGAAAUGAGUAUCAGCUAGCAACCUAGCUUCCCUCAAAGACUGUGGGGGCUCAAGGAGGACUCAGCAGCAAGCCUAGCUCAGGAGAAGGAGCUCAGAUUGCAUUUUUAUCCUCAUGUCAAAGCUGCCAGCAUUUUUAAUGGGAAACGAGGCCUGUGUCAGCCUAGGAGGUGGAGAAGGGGACACUGUGAAACUGAGAAGAUAUAUGCAUAUACAUAAACUGGCAGGCUGACCACAUUAUCUAAACUGUAGUUUUAUAGCCAUAUUAUGCACUUCAUUUUUAAAAAAACGUUGAAUGUAAAAAAUACAGAAAGAUAAGGGGCUGGUAAGAGGGUGGAACCCUUGGGAGGCCCUUCUCUCCCCCUCCUAUGAGAUACUUUCCUUGAAUCUGAAACUGAAAAUGCUAUAGUCAGCACCAACUUAAUUCCACAGUGCAAUUAGGGUUACGCAUUAAACCAGGCCUCUGUAGACAACUACCCGAAAAGAACUCAGAGCCUAAAUGAAAACCAGACAUGUGGCCGGAGCAGUUGGCACCGGCCAGGAUCCCAAUACAUAGUAACAGUAUAGAUUGGCGAUGAAAAUUAAAAGCAGUCAUUAUAGUUAAAUUGAUGUCGUAUUCACCAGCUGUUUAUUCCAAAGGAAAAGAAAGGGAGUGAUGUGGGAAUUCUGGAGGCUGCUGGGACUACCAUGCCCAGCUAUUUCAGCACUUGUUGAGCUGGAAGAAGGCAGCCGACCCUCUCUUUGACUUCUAGCUAACGAUGGUGCUUUUCCAUGUCUAAUCUGGAACUUCUCACGCUGGGAGCUCCAUCCAAAUCUUGCAGGUUGUUUUCAACAUCCAUAUAAAGGUGCUGAGCGCCCACUCCGUGGAGUCUGAUGAAUUCACUUGCAGGUGGGACCCAGGGAGCUGGAGUUUUAUCGUUCUCUGUCAGUGUUCCUAAAAGCUAUUCUGGGUGGGAAAUAGAGUCCCCAGCUUUGGUCCACUGGUAGCGGACCCCAACUACCAGACUCCAGGAGCUUGGAGUCUCCUCCCACUCCAGUUUCCUUCUGUGGAACUUGUCACUUUUACGUCCCCUUCAAAGUUGGUCGCCCCUUCUGAAUCACCACCACUCACCUACUUCAGUGACUAUCCAUUCCUAUUUUCAUUCUUUCACUUAUCACUGUUUGAAAUCACCUGUUGCUCUCCCCCAGUUACACUCAAAUCAACACUUUAGCUCCCUAGAAAACACACACUGGGAAGAAUAUUUUCUGCCAUAUGCACCCAGUGCCGUGCACACCAUUGACCCUCAAUAACCAAAUUCAAGAAUGAACAACUGGGUGUCACACAGAAAAAGGGAAGAACUCUAUGGGUAGCUGGUACUCAGGUUUGAGGAACCCUUGGUCAAUUCCCGGGUAGAAGAAAAUGCCCAAGCUAUGUGAACCCCUUGGUCCCAAUUGAAAUGUUUCCAGUAAGACUACAUUCUAGAACACCUGGGGACAGGUGGGAACUUACCAUUCUGAGAACUUCAUUCCCCAAAACUGGUCUCCAGCAUCAGCAUUAAUUAAAAAAAAAAAAA